rnacentral:rRNA from 1 species
AUGAACGCUGGCGGCGUGCCUAACACAUGCAAGUCGAACGAAGCAUUUUCUUGGAGAUUCGUCGAAGAGGGAUUUGACUUAGUGGCGGACGGGUGAGUAAUGUAUGAGCAACCUGCCUUUCAGAGGGGGACAACAGUUGGAAACGACUGCUAAUACCGCAUAAUGUAUCGAGGGGGCAUCCUCUUGAUACCAAAGGAGCAAUCCGCUGAAAGAUGGGCUCAUAUCUGAUUAGUUAGUUGGUGGGGUAACGGCCUACCAAGACUGCGAUCAGUAGCCGGACUGAGAGGUUGAACGGCCACAUUGGAACUGAGAUACGGUCCAGACUCCUACGGGAGGCAGCAGUGGGGAAUAUUGGGCAAUGGACGAAAGUCUGAACCCCAGCGACGCCGCGUGAGGGAAGAAGGUCUUCGGAUUGUAAACCUUAGUCAACAGGGACGAAGCAAGUGACGGUACCUGUGGAGGAAGCCACGGCUAACUACGUGCCAGCAGCCGC